rnacentral:lncRNA from 1 species
AUGCUCAUGUUUUGCUUGUGUUCAGACACGAUUAUGAAGCGGGCUUGUUUUGUCUCGUUGCACCAGGGUCACAGAGCGGCCUUGUCCCGUGUCGGCGUUCUGCGGAAUUAUUUAUGUCACGUGGGAGAACACCAGGGCCUGGCCGUGACUGCCGGGCCAGCUCCUAGCAACAGCGAGGCCAGCUGUGAACCCAGACCAGCUCCUGUCUCUUUCUCAAAGGUCAAGCUCAGCCCCAAGCGGACGCUGCCGGGGGAUGCUGGGAGGGCUGGCCAGCGUCUGCAAAGCCCCCUGCUGUAUCUGGGUGUCUGGAACAGAGUAGGUGCUCAGAGAAAUGCACUGUGCUGUUACAAGGCCGGCGGGAGCAGCACAGGCUCAAGAGAAGGGAUCCAGCUUCUCACGCAGCAGCAGCCUCUGAAGCCAGAGGCCCCCUGCCCUCUGCAGGCUUUCAGCUUCGCUGAGAUUUUUUCUGCUGCAGGAAGUGUCCCCAGUUGGGGGAUGGGGGCACACAGACCCCUGCAUCCAAGUCUAGAGCAAGAAGGGCUGUGGUCGGAUGUGGGGCUUAAAGAGUCUCUUGGGAUGCUGUGGGGAGGCAGGCCUGGGGCGGCCGGGGCUGGGGGUCCAGAUGAGAGAGAGUGGGGGCUGCCCGUGGAGGGGGCUGGGAUGGACUCGAGGGGCGUUUUGGUGACUGUUGGGAAGUGGAAGGGGGUGUGCGUGUGUGCAGAGGGCAAAGAGGUGAGCGCGAUGUUCAGGUGUGUGGCUGGGUGGCUCUGUGAUGGGCAGGGCAGCCCUGAGAUGGAGACACAAGAGAGCAAACGUUCGGGAAUGGUGCCAAGGUCAGUCUGGGNCCCAGCCCUGUCCCCUGGCGGUGGACAUUCAGGUUAUUCCUGCCCGCCCAUCGUGGCUGGAUAUUUACAUUACCAACCAAAUCCUCACGUCUGGACCUUUGGGACCCGACCAGACCACUGCAGCUGGUCCCUGGGUUUUCCUGAACAAUCUCAUAUGGGCAUUUAG